GCCAGCCGUCCCUGACCUGCAGGAUCAAGUCUUGGCUCCACACCCGGCCCUGUGCAUCCAUCUCGAACAGCUUCUGCAAGGCAUCCUCGGGCCCCUGGACUCUCUGACUCCCCUGCUUGCAUGUCAUCAAGUGCUGCAGGGAGAGGGGGAGUCCUAGGACUGGGAGAAAGCUCAGAGAGGUGGACCACAGGCGUGCUGGGUAGAGAAAAGCAGAAGAGGAAGAAGACGUGUCCUCGGCCCCCUUGAGUGAAUAGCCAUGGAGCUCCUAAAAAGAAUGGGACCUUUCACUUGACCUCCCUUCUCUCCCUUGCCUACUGCCCCUGAGCGAGUGCUUCAGCUACAGUCUGGGAGCCGAAGAUGCCUGUGUUUGAUGCCUCCAGCACCCUGUCUCUGCAUCUUGAAUCCAGCCACGUGACCAUCUCUUGCCCACCUUUGGCCAAUGUCCCUGAGACAUUUCAAGUGCAUCAUGCUGCAGACUGGUGUUGCUGUCUCCACAAUACCGCGCUUCCCCUGUGUCCCCAUCUCAGUCUUUGGUCCCACUAUCCACUUCCCACAUGCAGCCAUUGAGUCCUCUAUUUUUCUUCCUUAAAUCUCCAGAAUCUGCUGACAGUUUUACUUCUCUGUUAUUAUUGCUUUAAUUCAGACCCCCCCCCCCACAAUCCUUUACCCCUUAUUCCCCCACACCCUCCCGAGCCUUUCCUGCCAUCUCCUUUCCAGGGGAUACUCCCUUCUGAGCUCUCUCCAGCUCUGCCCAACAGAGUUUUCUAAAAUUCCAAUCUGCACAUGUCACUCCCUGGCUUAUAAAUCCUUCAGUUGCUCCCAUGCUUUAAAAGAAAAUCAUACACCUUGACUUUGCACAUGGCAUUUGAGCUCUGCCUCUGCUGGUUACCAGGUCUCACCCUUCUGCUGCAAACCCAGACACAAAGACAACCCAAAGCUCCCUGAAGGCACCUGCAGCACUUUGCCUCUCCACACCUUGCUGCUGCGUCGGCCUCCCUGCUUUCUUUGCUUGGCCAAAGCCUCAUCUUCCCUGCCAUCUCACCUCAAACAUCUCUGCCUCUAGAAGGCUCCCUGGACUCCCCUCACCCCUCAGCUGGUUUGGCGGUUGUGAUCUGAGAUAGCACACCUCUUCUUAUAUCUCUGUCCAAAACCUUAAUGUAAGACAUUGGUGAAUACCUUAAUUUUCUCUUCCACUAAGUGAUGUUACUUUGAGCAGGUUUUAUGUCUUUUUUGUGGGAUACCCACAGUCAGGCCAGUGCCUGGCACCUAAUAGGUGAUUGCUGAGUCAGUGAACAAGUAAACAAAUGAAUGAAGAAGGUAGAAAGGAAACAGAAGUUAGGAGGGCAGAAGUGGCUGGGAAUGGAGACAGUGGCCUGGAAACCUCCUGGAGGAGGGGUCAGCAUCCCUUGGUCACAAAUUUCUCUCCUACCUGGCUGCACAUUAGGGGGACUCUCCGCUCUUUCCUGCCUCUCCCUGGCAGACUAGUGACUCCUGGACACCAGUAGUGGGAAGGCAAGGGGCCUGGAGGCUGGUCAGAGACCCACACAGAGACCAUCCUUUUCCCUUCCCAAGGGACGCUGCCAGCCUCUGCAAGAAGACUACCCAAAGGCUGGUGGAUGGCAUGGAAACAUGAGUGCUGGAAUGCGAUCGCCUUUCCCGCCCAGCACUGAUUAUGCACCAUCUGUGUUCUGGGGCCUGUGCUGAAACUCUGAGCUUGUGCACAUUCCAAUGUGAUGCCAUCCUUUGGCUUAGUUUCAGAUGAGACUAGGGUGGGCACAAGCCACAGGUGGCAAGAUUGAGCUCUAGGCAAUGAGUGCCAGGGGACAAAGGUGAGGAUGCCGGGGCUGCACAGUCAGCAAGGAGGUGGACUGAGUCUUGAAGCAGAGUGGAAAGGCAAGGGCAUUGCUGGCAAGAGGGAUGGCCUUUGUAGAGGCUGGAGGUCAGGACACACAGGGACAAAGAACAGCUGGAUUACCUGGGCCUGAGGCUUUGGGAUGGAGUGGUAGGAAAUAAAUUUGGAAAGAGUCAUUGGAACCAGGUCCUGGAGGAAUUUGCUAGGCCAAAGAGUUUGAACUUGAACCAGAAAGAUGAACUGUGAGGCUGGGGUGGAUCCCAUGGGGCCAGCCAGGUAGCCCUUGGCUGCUUCUUCCCUGCCUUUCCAGUUAAGGAGCCAUUCCCUGCAAUGGCCAGCAGGGGGCAGAACAAGCUCACGUUCCCUUAGCCCAGGCCUUCCUGUCAGGGCUCAGUGUCCAGGGAGAGACCUGGGGUGGGUGUCCCUUGGAGAGUGGGGAGGAGCACCAGGCACAGAGGAAACAGGCCAGCUGUGCAUAGAUGGGGGACCCGGGGAGGCUGGCUAGUCUGUGGCCAUUGAAGCUGCGUGGUCUGGUGACCCGACCUGGACAGCCCUGGGGUGAGCAUCCACCCUUCCUGGGCCUAGGCUCCCUGGCACUAGCACAGCUUUCCAACUGUGCCCCCUUGUCUUUGCUUUCCCCAGCUUCUCCUUCCCAGUAGAAGAACCCUCGUUCCCAUGAGGUGUCUGAAUUGGGCCUCCCGGCUCCCCAGCUCCUUUAGAAUCAAACCAAAUCUAGGAAUGUGGCUAAAGAGAGUCUCUUUCCUCUGCUCAGUCCCUUCCCUGGAGAGGAUGAGGGAAGGUUUUCGGGCUGAUGACAAGGUAUGCAUGUGGGUGUUUGACUAGCAUUAUUCAGCAGCUUCUGUGCUAAGGACAGGGACAUGAAGACAGAAGUGCAUUAGGCCAAGGCACCAUUACACUCAGGGUCCCCAGCCCGCAGAGUAAACAACUCCGUGACUCAGCUGGCAAUGGCUGGAAGGUGCUAUGAACACAGUGCCGUGGACGCCCCGAAGAGGAGAGAACACCCCUGCACAGUGAGGACUGCAGAAGCUUUGACGAAGCUGCUACUGGAUCUAGGCCUUGAAACAUGGGUAGGAUUUUACCAGAUGGGGAAGAAGAAGGGGCAUCUCCAUUCAGGAACCAGCAUGAGCAAAGGCACAGGAGUGGGGCUGUGUUUAGACAAUAUCAAUGAACGGAUACAGUUCUAUAUGCUUUUCCAUGACCACUUGUUAUAUGACAAACAUUGUGCUAUGAUAUUUAUAUUAUUUCCAAUUUUCAAAUCAACCCUUAAGGUGCUAUGAUCCCCUCUUUACAGAUAAAGCAUCUGAGGGUCAGAGAAAUGGCAUGAGAGCCCCGGUAAGGAGCAUAGGAGCUGAAAUGCUAGUCCCGGUCCCUGUGACUCCACUCUGCCUCCGUAAGAUGGAAGUUAAGGAGUGUGCAUGGCAGGGGUGGAUGGGAAGGGCUGAUGGUGCCACAAAGACCAGCAAAGUCCUUCUCUCCCAGGGGACGCUACCCUUGGCCCCAGCAUCUCUGGCCAGACUGUAAGAUCUUCUGGUCAGAAACCUUUUCUCAAACAGCUAUUUGCCUUUUCACUUUUCCUUUUCCUUUUAGGAAGCAGUUCUUGUGCAAAUUUCAUUCUUGCGGGUCAUAGAUUUUGUCUGGGCCUGGGUCGCAGACAGAGAAGGAGGGGCCCUGAAAUAGGGUGAAAGGAGGAGGGCCUGGGCCAGAUCCCCAGGGGGCAUCAACCUGCCCUUGCAAGCCUUGUGCUGGUAUUUAAAGGUUGGCUUCCGGCCAGGUGCAAUGGCUUACACCUAUAAUCCCAGCAUUUUGGGAGGCUGAGGCAGGAGGAUUGUUUGAGGUCAAGAGUUUGAGACCAGCCUGGGCAACAAAGUGAGACCCUGUAUCUACAAAAAGAAAAAAAAUUAGCCGGACAUGGUGGCGCAUGCUUGUAGUCCCAGCUACUCAGGAGGGUGAGGUGGGAGGAUUGCUUGAGCCCAGGAGUUUGAGGCUGCAGUGAGCUGUGAUCAUGCCACUGCACUCCAGCCUGGGGGACAGCAAAAGACCCUGUCUCUAAAACAAAUACAUAAAUAAAAACAAAGUUUGGCUUCUUUUCCCAGUCUCCAUUUGUCUCCUCUGUCUGGGUGGGAUGGAGUAGCUGAGAGGGCAGACCUCCUGCCACGAACGGACCUCUUCCAGAUGGAAGAGAGGCCUGCUCCUCCAGGGCUCCCCUCCUCUGAACCACCUCCCUUCCUGGUCUCAGUAAAGCCAUUCCCACAUCUUCCAGUGGUCCCUGCGUUAGUCUGUUCAGGCUGCUAUAGCGAAAUAGCAUAGACUGGGAAGUAUACAAACAACAGAAAUUUGUUUCUCACAGUUCUGGAGGCUGGGAGGUCCAAAAUGAAGGUACCUGUAGAUCUGGAGUCUGGUGGGGGCUUACUGUCUAAUUCAUAGAAGGCACCUUCUCACUGUGUCCUCACAUGGUAGAAGGGCAACACAGCUCUCUGGCAUCUCUUUUAUAAGGGCACUAAUCCAUUUUAUCAGAGCACUUACUCACCUCACAAAGGUCCCAUCCCUAAUACCAUCGCCUUGGGGUUAAGGUUUUUUUUUUUUUUUUUUGAGACGGAGUCUUGCUGUGUCUCCCAGGCUGGAGUGCAGUGGUGUGAUCUCAGCUCACUGCAAGCUCCGCCUCACGGGUUCCCGCCAUUCUCCUGCCUCAGCCUCCCGAGUAGCUGGGACUACAGGUGCCCGCCACCACACCCGGCUAAUAGAGACGGGGUUUCACCGUGUUAGCCAGGAUGGGGGGUUAAGGUUUUAACAUAUGAAUUUUGGGGAGACACAAACAUUCAGACCAUAGCCUUCUGCCCUGGCCCACCAAAAUUUAUGUCCUUCUCACAUGAAAAGUAUAUUGAUUUCAUUUCAAUAGUCCCAAAUGUCUUACUCAUUCUAGCAUCAACUUUAAAGUUUAAAUCCAAAGUCUCAUGUAACUAUCAAAUAAAACAGAUAUAAGUGAGACUCAAGGUAUUUGUCUCCAGCUAUGAACCUGUGAAAUCAAGCAAGUUAUGUGCACUCAAAAUACAAUGGGGGAGAUGGGUGGAGGAUAGACAUUCCCAUUCCGAAAGGGAGCAAUAGGAAGGAAAGAAGGGAUACCAGGUCCCAACCAAAUCCAAAACCCAACAGGGCAAACAACAUGAAAUCUCAAGGCUGGAGAAUACUCUCUGGCUGAUGCUCUGCCCUCUGGACACUGGGGUAGGGGUUGGGCCCUCAGAGCUCCAGGUGGCCCUGCCCCCAUAGCUUUGCUGGGCACUGCCUAUGUUCCAUCUCUCACAGGUUGUAGUUGGGUGCCUGUGGCUCUCUCAGGCUGGAAUUGCACGCUGGUGGGUCUAUGGUCUGGGAUCUUGGUGUUGGCCCACCCCCAUGGCUCUAUUAGGUAUUGCCCUGUUGGGGACUCUCUGUAGAGGUCCCACCCUUGCCAUAACUCUCUGUCUGGUCACAUAACUGAGGCUCCUAGUGGCUCCAUUCUUCAGGAUCUAGGUGAAGGUAGCCAUGCCCCCACAGCUCAUGCACAUUGACAGGAAUGGCACUUCAUGGAGCUGCCAAGGUUUAUCACCUGUGCCCUGCAGAGGGGUGGCCACCUUAGCUUGUGUUGUACCUAGGCCCACUAGAGCCAUACGUGGGGUGGCCAACGAGUACUCUGCUAAAGUGCGGGGAGUGGAGCCUUGAAAUCUUUCUGUCCCCCAAGCCCUUGCACUCUGGGCCUGUGGUGGGAGGGGCAAUUCUGAUAAUCUCCAAAAUAUUUUUGGGGACAGCCUUCCAUUGCCUUCAUCAAUAGCACCUGGCUUCCCUUGAGAUGGCCUAUCCGUACCAAUCCCUUUCUCAAAUCACUGUGGGGCCACAUUCUUGGUGUUUUCUAUGAACACACUUUCACAUUCUUUUCAAAAUGGAUAGGUUGAGAAUUUUCCAAAAUUUUAAAUUCUGCUUCCCUUUUGAUUAGCAAUUCUAUCUUCAGAUCAUCUCUCUCUUCUCAAAUGUUACUAUAAGCACUCAAGAGAAGCCAAGCUGCACCUUCAACACUGCUUAGAAAUUUACUCAUUCAAAUAUCCCAUUACAUCAUUUACAAAUUCUACCUUCCACAAAACACCAUGACACAAACUUAAUGCAGCCAAGUUCUUUACUACUUUCUAAUAAGUAUUGUUUUUCCUCUAGUUUUCAGUAAAACAUUCCUCAUUUCUGAGACCUUACCAGAAUGGCUUUUACCAUCCAUAUUUCUACCAAUAGCCUGUUCAUGACCACUUAGGUAACCUCUAAGAAGAUUGAGGCUUUCUCUACAACUCUCCACACCAGAACUGCUCUUAACAGUCCAUUCAUGGCAAUGGUUAGGCUUUUUCUAGGAUGCACUUCCAAACUCUUUCAGCCUCUACCCAUUAUCUAGUUCCAAAGCCACUUCCACAUUUUAGGUAUUUGUUACAGUAGCAUCCCACUCCUGGUACUAAUUUUCUGUUUUAGUCCAUUCAGGUUGCUAUAACAAAAUGCUAUAGACUAGGUAGCUCAUAAACCACAGAAUUUAUUUCACAAUCCUGGAGGCUAGGAAGUCCACAAUUAAGACACUGGCAGAUUUGGUGUCUGGUGAGGGAAUGCUUUCUUGUUCAUAGAUGGUACCUUCUCGGUGUGUUCUCACAUGGUCAAAGGGCAAGACAGCACUCUGAGGUCUCUUUUAUAUGGUCACUAAUCACCUCACCAAGGCCCCACCACCUAAUGCCAUCAUCUUGGGCACUGGGAAUUUAACAUAUGGGUUCUGGGGGUAGGAGGACACAAACAUUUACACCAAAGCUGACUCCUUCUCAGCAAUCAUCCAGUCCUUUUAAAUUGGGACACUAACCUUUUUCUUGCCAGCAAUCAUUUUAAAAAAUCAAUUUAAAAUAAUAAAAAUUAUAGUAAAUACCAUAAUAGCAGAGAAGGAUAUGUAAAAAUUAAAAAUGUUCUACCCAUCACCCUUUUCCUUUGCCUCAUCUUAUUCCCCAAGGAACCACUCUUAACAAUUUCUUAUUUAUCCCUAAGAUAUUUCUAUGUAUAUAGACAAGCACGUAUAGCUACAAGUCACUAUAUGUGCUUUGUAAAAAAUAUAUACAAAUGGGAUCAUAUCAUAACAAUAAUGUAACCGUGUUAUUUUGCAGCUUGCUUUUUUCACUUAAUGUCAGAUCUUGGACCUCUUUUUCAUGUCGAUAUCUGUAGAUCUACUCAUUUUUUUUGUAGUGACUAUAAAAAGUUCAUUGUAAAGAUGUGACUGACCAGUUCCUUUUUUAAUGGAGAUUUAUGCUGCUUAGGUUUUGCUAAGGCAAACAGUUCUAAGAUGAACAACUAUGUUUGUAAAUUAAUUGCCAGCUGACUAAUAAUGUGUGUGUUUAAAAUGUGAACAUGUGUUCCCAGAUUGCCUUUCAAAAACACUAUAACAAUUUAUAGUCCCACUAAUAGUGUAUGAAAAUGCCCAUUUCCUUAUAUUUGCACCAACACUGAUACUAUCAAACUUUUAAAUCUUUGCUAAUUUGACAGAUGAAAAAUGGUAAAAAUUUAAAAAUUUUGAAAAUUUAAAUGCCUUUAAAAGUAAGGCUGAGCAUUUAAAAAAAUAUAUCUUGGCUAUUUAAACUUCUUUUUCUUUCUUUUUU
rnacentral:lncRNA from 1 species